rnacentral:rRNA from 1 species
UACAGAGGGUGCAAGCGUUAAUCGGAAUUACUGGGCGUAAAGCGUGCGUAGACGGUUACAUAAGUCGGGUGUGAAAGCCCCGGGCUCAACCUGGGAAUUGCAUUCGAGACUGCGUAGCUAGGGUGCGGAAGAGGGAAGCGGAAUUUCCGGUGUAGCGGUGAAAUGCGCAGAUAUCAGGAAGAACACCCGUGGCUAAGGCGGCUCUCUAGUACGGUACUGACGCUGAGACGCGAAAGCGUGGGGAGCGAACAGG